rnacentral:rRNA from 1 species
UACGUAGGGUGCAAGCGUUGUCCGGAAUUAUUGGGCGUAAAGAGCUCGUAGGCGGUUUGUCGCGUCGGGAGUGAAAACCUCGGGCUUAACUCGGGGCUUGCUUUCGAUACGGGCAGACUGGAGGUAUGCAGGGGAGAACGGAAUUCCUGGUGUAGCGGUGAAAUGCGCAGAUAUCAGGAGGAACACCGGUGGCGAAGGCGGUUCUCUGGGCAUGACCUGACGCUGAGGAGCGAAAGUGUGGGAGCGAACAGG